rnacentral:sRNA from 1 species
AAACAGAUCCGGAGCGCGUGGCGGGCGUCAGCGCAGUGGCGAGCGCGCAGAGGCGGGCGCGGAGGCGGCUAGAAGGUGACCGCGGAACCCAGCUUCCUGCAGCCGGGUCUGGCCGUGGGUCUGGGCUUCGGGGCACUGGCAGAGGUCGCCAAGAAGAGCCUGCGCUCCGAGGACCCCUCAGGGAAGAAGUCCGUGCUGGAUUCCAGUCCUUUCCUGUCCGAGGCCAAUGCAGAGCGGAUUGUGCGCACGCUCUGCAAGGUGCGUGGUGCGGCGCUCAAGCUGGGCCAGAUGCUGAGCAUCCAGGGUGAGUGGGCGCAGGGGCUGCUGCCCCAGUACUGUGUGGGCUGCUGGGGGCGGUCAACUUCCAGGGCCGGGAGCAGUGGCCCCACCAAAGCUCAGUGGGCAAGAUGUGAGCAGGCUGGGGAGACAUCUCAGAGGAUAACAGGCCUGGUCUCCAGGCGAGUGGCUCUGGGUCCAAAGAAACACAUGGAAAAAAGAGCAGAGAGGAAAAAUUGCUCUCUAGAGGCGGUCAGAACACAGGUCAUUUCAACAUUUUACUGUUUUAUUUUCCAAAUUUCUUUUGUAAUUAUGAAAAACUCUGCAUGUUGUGUGUAAAAAAGCCCACCUUCUCAGGUCGCUGGGCGGAGGCUGGGGCUCCAGGGAUGCCGAGUGGCCGAGGGCGUGUGUGCGAGGGCUCCUGUCUUUCUGGCCUCACCCGUGCUCCUGGUGGGGAGGGUGUGGUGGCCAGGGCAUCCCAGGAGUGUGCCCGCCCAGGUCCUGGGCGCACACUUUCAUCCCCAGGUUCGCCCUGUGUCACUCUCCUGCCUUCCAGAUGACGCCUUUAUCAACCCCCACCUGGCUAAGAUCUUCGAGCGGGUGCGGCAGAGCGCCGACUUCAUGCCGCUGAAGCAGAUGAUGAAAACUCUCAACAACGACCUGGGCCCCAACUGGCGGGACAAGUUGGAAUACUUCGAGGAGCGGCCCUUCGCCGCUGCAUCCAUUGGGCAGGUGCACUUGGCCCGAAUGAAGGGCGGCCGCGAGGUGGCCAUGAAGAUCCAGGUAGGCGGCCUGAUGCGCAGUGCCUGUCCCUAUGGGGGCUGCAGGGGGCAGAGCUGGGGCCUGGUUCAUGGGGACCUCUGCACCCCACGUCCCGCAGGGCACCCUCUCUCCUGGCAGGGCCAUAUGUGGUGUCCUCUGGCCCCAGUGCCUGGACGGCACCAGAAGCUUGGGAAGUAUUUGCUAAAUGAGUGACUUUGGGGGCACGGAGGGGCCCCCAGCAAGCUUGGUUUGGGAUGGGCAGGGACAGGGGACAAGUGAUUGCCUUUUGGGGCCAGAGCUGGUGGGAGGGUGGCCGUGUGCUGUUCCCAGCGGUGAGGUGAGGCAGGAGUGGACAGAAGGUGAGGCAGAAGGAGUGGACAGAAGGUGAGGCAGAAGGUGGACAGUGAGGCUGUGAUAGGGUCCAGGGGUCACGGCAGCAUGGCUGGGUCUUAGCUCUGAUUCUCCGGGGUGUGGGCUGGGGCCACGACACAGCUGGGAAGCCAGUGGGGGGUUGGGGGAGUGCCCUAGGCAGGGCCCACCCAUCUCCCUGGGCUAACUCCCCUGCUCUGCCCAUACCCCCACAGUACCCUGGCGUGGCCCAGAGCAUCAACAGUGAUGUCAACAACCUCAUGGCCGUGCUGAACAUGAGCAACAUGCUUCCAGAAGGUCUGAGGCUAGGUGGUUGGGUCAAGGGCAGGAGUGGGUAGCAGGCAUCUGUGUUGGGUUCUGGGGACCAGAGGGGGUCCUCCCUGCAGAGCCCCCUUCCUCGCUGAUGCCCUCCUCCCUGGCCCAGGCCUAUUCCCCGAGCACCUGAUCGACGUGCUGAGGCGGGAGCUGGCCCUGGAGUGUGACUACCAGCGGGAGGCCGCCUGCGCCCGCAAGUUCAGGUGUGGCCCCCCAGCCGGGCCCCUUGCGUGUUUCCACCAGGGAGGCAGAAGGAACCAUGUUCAGCAGCUGGUGAAGGCCCCUCUGGCUCUGAGGGGCAGAGGGCUGGGGUUGCAGCCUGGGCCGAGGCCACAUCCUGCCUGGGGUGAAGGAGGGCUCUCUGCCUGGUGGGGUGUGUGUGUGGGGGGGCGGUGUGGGGGGCCUGUGGCUAGAGCGUGACCUCCCGCCCCUACCCAGGGACCUGCUGAAGGGCCACCCCUUCUUCUACGUGCCUGAGAUUGUGGAUGAGCUCUGCAGCCCACAUGUGCUGACCACAGAGCUGGUGUCCGGCUUCCCCCUGGACCAGGCCGAAGGGCUCAGCCAGGAGAUUCGGAAUGAGAUCUGCUACAACAUCCUGGUUCUGUGCCUGAGGGAGCUGUUCGAGUUCCACUUCAUGCAAACAGACCCCAACUGGUCCAACUUCUUCUAUGACCCCCAGCAGCACAAGGUGGCUCUUUUGGAUUUUGGGGCAACGCGGGAAUAUGACAGAUCCUUCACCGACCUCUACAUUCAGAUCAUCAGGGCUGCUGCUGACAGGGACAGGGAGACUGUGCGGGCGAAAUCCAUAGAGAUGAAGUUCCUCACUGGCUACGAGGUCAAGGUCAUGGAAGACGCCCACUUGGAUGCCAUCCUCAUCCUGGGGGAGGCCUUCGCCUCCGAUGAGCCCUUUGAUUUUGGCACCCAGAGCACCACCGAGAAGAUCCACAACCUGAUUCCCGUCAUGCUGAGGCACCGUCUCGUCCCCCCACCCGAGGAGACCUACUCCCUGCACAGGAAGAUGGGGGGCUCCUUCCUCAUCUGCUCCAAGCUGAAGGCCCGCUUCCCCUGCAAGGCCAUGUUCGAGGAGGCCUACAGCAACUACCGCAAGAGGCAGGCCCAGCAGUAGGGCUGUGGGCCACGCCCAGGCCGGCUCCGCGGGAACUCUCUCCCUCAGACAGGCCAAAAACCAGUAGGGAGGUGGUGGUGAUGCUCUUUUUAACUCCUUUGCCCAAUAAGGGGGGGUGGCUGCCUGGAGCCCCGUAGCCAGCGCUUUCCACGGUUUCUGUUGCUAAAUGGUUGUAGGGUGAGAAGUGCAGGAAUGAAGAUGAAGCCCCACUGCUCGGUCAGUCUGCCUCCGUGUGUCCUCUGAAAUAAGUAGAUGAAGAUGAAAGGGCAACUUUGUUUUCUUCUUUUUCCUGACGUGAAUGUUGAGCAGAAGGGAGAGAGUCCUUACUCCCUUCCAAUCUCUGUUCCAGUGCAAAACCCAGAAACAUGAACACAGAUACGAUUGUGGGAUUUUGUCAUCUGUGUAGUAGGUGUGUGUAUGUGUUUCUAGAGUUAGAUUUGUGUUUUUUGCCCUUUUCCUCUCCAUCCGAUGGGCUGGAGCUGGGAGAGGUGCUGAUCUAACAGUGCCAACAAGUGCUCCUUAAGCCUGCGAGGCCCAGGCCUGUGGGGCUGGCUCUCACCUUUGACAGCUGAAUGUUUCUAAAGAACUGCUGCCCUACAGUAAGGGUGGGAGCAGCAGAACAGGGAAUGCCAGACACAGGCUCGCUGCUGCUGGAAGGCAGGGUGGGACUUCCUUCCUCUGUCCGGAGAGGCACAGGUGUCACCAGUUCCAGCCAAAGGCUCCUCACAGGCUCUGUGAAUUUUUGUACAAGUCUUGUAAUUAUCGAAUCAACUUGUUUCAAUUUAAUAAAAAUGCUCAUGGGAAGUG